GCAGCCCUCUGUCCUGAAGGCCAGUCCCACCCCCACCAUGUUCCCCCAGCAGCACUGAGUCUAUUUCCAGUCAGCCAGUGACAAGAGCUAAGAACUUGUCCCCACACCACCAGCCUCCCUGAUGAGAAAGCAAGCAGACUCAGUUUUCUGGCAUCUCAGGGAGCAUGCAGUGGUGAUUCACUUUCUUCAAAGGGUCUCUGGAUUCUCUCAGCUUGCCUGAUGAUAUUGUGUCCGGAAUUGGUGGGCUCCUGGUCUCACUGACUUCAAGAAUGAAGCCGCGGACCCUCACAUAUCACUAUGCGAAGUUUGACACUGCAAAUAAUAUAUCCUGAUCCAAUGUUGAAAGAAAAGCCGUAGUCCUCAAAGGCCCUGAAUCCAGUUUGAAAAGUUCAUGCAGCUGCAUUGCCCAGAGUAAGAACCCACCUUGAGCAAACACAUCUCUGCAAACUAAGCUGCUACAGCACAGUGCAUAUGGGAAACCAAACCCACUGCUAAACUGUGUUCUGCCCUGGAGACCAGUACAACUGACUGUCUGUCUGCCCCAGUCUCAGCCAAGAUUCUACCAUUUUCACACAGAAAUUACAAUGAAGGCGCUAGCCCACAGUUGCCUCCCACUCCGCAACCCCCAUGACCAACCCAGUGCUUCUCGAGUGACCCUGCAUCCUGUGCUGUGUUCUCUCAAGGGGAACUGUGAGUGUAACAACACUGCUAAAUUCUUUCUGAUUUACCUCCCUUGAUCUGAGUCUGGCUUCACCAUACCUCACCCAAGCCACUUCUCCUGUUCCAGUGGUUCGUAUUCUCCUAUACCUGUUUCAGAAGAAAAAUGUAUGGGACAUUAAAUUUUAGACUUUCAAUCACUGAAAAGCUCUUCAUUUUACUCUAAAACUUGU
rnacentral:lncRNA from 1 species